rnacentral:misc_RNA from 1 species
UCCGAGUUGACCCCGGCAGUCUCACAUGAGUUCCCACCAUUACGUGCUGGCAACAUGCGACGAGGGUUGCGCUCGUUGCGGGACUUAACCCAACAUCUCACGACACGAGCUGACGACAACCAUGCACCACCUGUAACCGAGUGUCCAAAGAGUUCCACAUUUCUGCGGCGUUCUCGGUUAUGUCAAGCCUUGGUAAGGUUCUUCGCGUCGCGUCGAAUUAAGCAACAUGCUCCGCCGCUUGUGCGGGCCCCCGUCAAUUCCUUUGAGUUUUAGCCUUGCGGCCGUACUCCCCAGGCGGGGCGCUUAAUGCGUUAGCUACGGCACAGGCGGGAUUAAUACCGCCCACACCUAGUGCCCAUCGUUUAGGGCGUGGACUAC